AUGCUGCCGCCUGCCCUUCUGCGCCCUUUGACCGCUCGGCUGCCCACCGACAUUGAUCACCGGCACCCCCCGCCCCAGCCACCACUACGCCCUAUAAAAAGCGCCUCGCGCCCUCCGUCGGCUCGCACACCACCCUCGCCUCGCCUCUCCUUCUCCCCCCUUGUCGCCGGCGUCCUCCUCUUGCGCCCUUCACCACCUCGCGCGCCCUACCUCUCCCUCUCGCCGACGAUGACCCGCCCCAACUUGACGAUGGAGGAGGCGGAGGAGCUCGCCCACUUCGGCAUCCCCGCCGCGCCCGACGUGCGCCUGCCGGCGAGGUGGCGCCUGAGCAUCGACGGCGUCCCCGUUGCGCCGGUGCCCGAGGUCGGCACCCACCUCUUCGCCCGCGCCGUCGGCCUGUACAGGGCGCGCCUGUCGCCGGAGGAGCUCGCCGACCCCCAGUACGCCCCAACAACCCCGGCUAGGCGGACCGCAUCGCCGAUGAUCAGCUGCAGCGUCUCCACGCCUACGCCGGCCCGCGCCCCCCCACGAAGCACAACCGCGCGCGGCGGCAUCAGCUCUUGGACGGCCGCACCUUCGAGGAGGUGGUCGCGCCGUACCGCGCGCAGGCGGUCGCCGGCGUCGUGCCUGCUCCGCCGAGGGACGGCUUUCAGCUGUACCGCCGCGGCGAUGCGCGCUCGACCCGCGCCCGCCUCGACUUCGGCGCCAUGCACCCGCCCCCGCCCCACGGAGGCCGAGGCGGUGACCGUGGCACUGUCCGCCUCGGCCCCGGCGAUCGCCAUACGGCGGGCAGGAACGACGCAGGGUCCAACCGCGCCCCUCCGCCCGAGCCGCAGCAGCAGCCAGAGCCGGCAUUGGUGGCGGAGUACAGGCGGCUGGCGGCGGAGGCCGGUGACCCGGACGACAUGCCGGGCUACCUGA
rnacentral:rRNA from 1 species